rnacentral:lncRNA from 1 species
UUAAUUCAACUGAUAAAAUGAUAAAAUUGUUAAGUCAGACGUCAUGAUUGAGGUUUGAAUCCCGAUGCCUUCCCCUAUAUGUGCGAGUUUACAACGACUCUGUCAUUAAGAUAAAAACAUGACCUACAUACAUUACUAAAUGAAUCAUAUAUUUUUGUACCAAGGUAAUAAUAUUGGUUUGUAAAUACGGUGCAUCCAAUUUUCUUUUAAAAGGAAAGAAUAUUAAUAACUCUAGUG